UCCGAUUGUUCUGUUGAA
rnacentral:sRNA from 1 species